GGGUGGAUUCCCAGACCGUGGUGACCCAGGAGCCAUCACUCUCAGUGCCUUCAGGAGGGACGGUCACACUCACCUGUGGCCUUGGCUCUGGCUCAGUCACUACUAGUAACUACCCCGACUGGUUCCAGCAGACCCCAGGCAAGGCUCCCCGCCUGCUCAUCUACAGCACAAACAGCAGGCCCUCUGGGGUCCCUGAGCGCUUCUCCGGGUCCAUCUCUGGGAACAAGGCCGCCCUCACCAUCUCGGGGGCCCAGCCUGAGGACGAGGCCGACUAUUACUGUUCUCUGUAUACGGGUGACUCGCUGCUGAGGGAGGAGCGACUGCUAAGAUCCUGUGAGGAAGACAAGGAAGGGUGA